UGAGGAAUAUUGCACAAUGGGCGCGAGCCUGAUGCAGCAACGCCGCGUGCGGGACGACGGCCUUCGGGUUGUAAACCGCUUUUCUGAGGGACGAGCGAGGACGGUACCUUAGGAAUAAGUCUCGGCUAACUACGUGCCAGCAGCCGCGGUAAGACGUAGGAGGCGAGCGUUAUCCGGAUUUACUGGGCGUAAAGCGCGCGCAGGUGGCCGUGUAAGUUGGACGUGAAAGCUCCUGGCUUAACUGGGAGAGGUCGUUCGAUAUUGCGGGGCUUGAGGUUGGGAGAGGGGUGUGGAAUUCCCGGUGUAGUGGUGGAAUGCGUAGAUAUCGGGAGGAACACCUGAGGCGAAGGCGGCACCCUGGCCCACACCUGACACUGAGGUGCGAAAGCGUGGGGAGUAAACAG
rnacentral:rRNA from 1 species